AUUAUGAUACCUGGGUAUAUGGAAGAUAACCAAUUAUUCACUCUGGAUACAACAGCUACAGAAGCCGAUCGGAACACCCCAAGCACCAGUAGCCAAUCCACCGUGGUGCCGCCCACCUUCAGAGUGAAGAGACCGGUGUUUCUUCACCUUCUAAUUUAUCCCUUAAUUAUUUAAUUUAAGAUGUGUGUACAACAUUAAUGAACAAAUAAAGCUACUACAUAAAUA